UUACUCGCUGUUUUAUCGUCCUUGUCAUCUCGCCUUUUGAAUUGCAACAAAUUGCAAUUUGUGAAUUUUACUAUAAAAAAAUAUUUAGUAGAACAUGCUUGGAUUGCGAUCAGCAUUGAUUGGCACGGCCCGCGCCAGAACUGUGCUGAGGAACGCACCUUUGCCGCUAAAAUUGCAGAAAAAGUAUUCUCAUCAUGACGGGCCCCCACAGCCAUUUGACAAUAUGCCCUUCAGGAUCACGAAUCGGUUCCUGACAACGGUGUUUUUUGCAGUAUUUUUCGGUUCCGGGCUGUGGGCCCCCUUCGCUAUCGUAUGGUAUUCCAUGGCAAAGAGAACAUUGUAAUUUUAAAUAAUUAAAUUAUUGAUUAGAA